rnacentral:lncRNA from 1 species
CUCUUCCUAUAGCAACCAGCGGGACCUGCCGUCCCCCGGGGCACCCCGAGGGGUCUGCGCCCGCUUCUUUCCGAAACGGGAAGGCGCUGGGGGCUCGGCAGCCAGAGGGACGGGUUCAGGGAGCGUCCGGUGAGCCUAAGACGCGCCUUUGCCGGGGUUGCCGGGUGUCUGCCUCUCACUUAGGUAUUAGGAACCGUGGCACAAAUCUGUAGGUUUUCCUCUGGGGGUGGGCGGAGGCUCCAAACCGGACGGUUUUCUCCUGGAGGACUGUGUUCAGACAGAUACUGGUUUCCUUAUCCGCAGGUGUGCGCGGCGCUCGCAAGUGGUCAGCAUAACGCCGGGCGAAUUCGGAAAGCCCGUGCGUCCGUGGACGACCCACUUGGAAGGAGUUGGGAGAAGUCCUUGUUCCCACGCGCGGACGCUUCCCUCCGUGUGUCCUUCGAGCCACAAAAAGCCCAGACCCUAACCCGCUCCUUUCUCCCGCCGCGUCCAUGCAGAACUCCGCCGUUCCUGGGAGGGGAAGCCCGCGAGGCGUCGGGAGAGGCACGUCCUCCGUGAGCAAAGAGCUCCUCCGAGCGCGCGGCGGGGACGCUGGGCCGACAGGGGACCGCGGGGGCAGGGCGGAGAGGACCCGCCCUCGAGUCGGCCCAGCCCUAACACUCAGGACCGCCUCCAGCCGGAGGUCUGCGCCCUUCUGAGGACCCUGCCUGGGGGAGCUUAUUGCGGUUCUUUUGCAAAUACCCGCUGCGCUUGGACGGAGGAAGCGCCCACGCGUCGACCCCGGAAACGAAGGCCUCCCUGAUGGGAACGCAUGCGUCCAGGAGCCUUUAUUUACUCUUAAUUCUGCCCGAUGCUUGUACGUGUGUGAAAUGCUUCAGAUGCUUUUGGGAGCGAGGUGUUACAUAAAUCAUGGAAAUGCCUCCUGGUCUCACCACACCCAGGGUGACAGCUGAGAUGCGGCUUCUCCAGGGUGGAGCCUCCUCGUUUUCCAGAGCUGCUUGUUGAAGUCUUCCCAGGGCCCCUGACUUGCACUGGAAACUGCUCACCUUGGCAUCGGGAUGUGGAGCAAGAAAUGCUUUUGUUUUCAUUCAUCCUAGUGUUCAUAAAAUGGAAAACAAAUAAGGACAUACAAAAACAUUAAUAAAAUAAAUUAAUGGAACUAGAUUUUUCAGAAAGCACAACAAACACAAAAUCCAAGUAUUGCCAUGUCAGCAACACAUUCCUACUUUAAGUUUUAUGAAGUUAAUUGGAGUAGUGGAGAACAAAAGUGGAUGUGGGGCAGAUCUGCGUCCUGCAUGUGUCUUGCAGCCAGACUGUUCCAGCUGUUGCAGACCUCAAAAUAGAGAGGACCCAGGUUUUCUGAUUUUGCCUUCUUUUUUUUUUUUUUAAAUUUAUUAUUGUUAUACUUUAAGUUUUAGGGUACAUGUGCAUGAUGUGCAGGUUAGUUUCAUAUGUAUACAUGUGCCAUGCUGGUGUGCUGCACCCACUAACUCGUCAUCUAGCAUUAGGUAUAUCUCCCAGUGCUAUCCCUCCCCCCUCCCCCCACCCCACAACAGUCCCCAGAGUGUGAUGUUCCCCUUCCUGUGCCCAUGUGUUCUCAUCGUUCAAUUCCCACCUAUGAGUGAGAAUAUGCGGUGUUUGGUUUUUUGUUCUUGCGAUAGUUUACUGAGAAUGAUGAUUUCCAAUUUCAUCCAUGUCCCUACAAAGGACAUGAACUCAUCCUUUUUUAUGGCUGCAUAGUAUUCCAUGGUGUAUAUGUGCCACAUUUUCUUAAUCCAGUCUAUCAUUAUUGGACAUUUGGGUUGGUUCCAAGUCUUUGCUAUUGUGAAUAGUGCCGCAAUAAACAUACGUGUGCAUGUGUCUUUAUAGCA